rnacentral:tRNA from 1 species
UCCCCCGUAGCUCAACUGGCAGAGCAUUCGACUGUUAAUCGAAGGGUUACUGGUUCGAGUCCAGUCGGGGGAGCCA